rnacentral:lncRNA from 10 species
UCCUUGAGCAGGCUGCCCAGGGGAGGAUUGUGGUGGGCAGCACGGAGAAGCGGCUAAAUGUCAAGUUGCCUGAACAACCAACUGAAAACUCUACAAUGCCCAGUAUGUCCUGCUGUACAAACAGUGGAUGAAAAUUCAGAAGCAUGUUUGAGAAACAGAUAUACAUGGAUGUGACUCUUUAAACAUCAGUGAAGCAUAUUCACUAUUCUCAUUAUGGAAAGAUCAGGCUCUCCUGGAGAGGCAACAACCGAGAUGAAUGAGAAGAUAGGUGUUUGGGCCUCACAGCAGUUCCAACUUGACUCCAAAGAGAUCAAAACUUCAAUGAAUUUUGAGACACAAGUGGUUGGUCAGUGUUUUACCUCCAAGUUAAAUAUUUUUUCAACUGGCAACAGUUAGGAAUCUACAACAGAAGAAUUAAAAAAAAAAAAAAAAGAA